rnacentral:rRNA from 1 species
CUACGGGUCGCAGCAGUGGGGAAUCUUGGACAAUGGGGGCAACCCUGAUCCAGCCAUGCCGCGUGGGUGAAGAAGGCUCGCGGGUUGUAAAGCCCUUUCAGCAGGGAAGAAAAGCCUCGGGAUAAUACCCCGGGGUCUUGACGUAACCUGCAGAAGAAGCACCGGCUAACUCCGUGCCAGCAGCCGCGGUAAUACGGAGGGUGCGAGCGUUAAUCGGAAUUACUGGGCGUAAAGCGCGCGUAGGUGGCCUGUUAAGUCGGAUGUGAAAGCCCCGGGCUUAACCUGGGAACUGCAUUCGAUACUGGCAGGCUCGAGUGUGGUAGAGGGAAGCGGAAUUCCCGGUGUAGCGGUGAAAUGCGUAGAUAUCGGGAGGAACAUCAGUGGCGAAGGCGGCUUCCUGGACCAACACUGACACUGAGGUGCGAAAGCGUGGGUAGCAAACAGGAUUAGAUACCCCUGUAGUC